GCUGAACUUAAGCAUAUCAAUAAGCGAAAAA
rnacentral:rRNA from 1 species